CGGCAGCACGGGAGCAAUCCUGGUGGCGAGUGGCGAACGGGUGAGUAAUGUAUCGGAACGUACCUUUCAGUGGGGGAUAACGUAGCGAAAGUUACGCUAAUACCGCAUAUUCUGUGAGCAGGAAAGCAGGGGAUCGCAAGACCUUGCGCUGAUUGAGCGGCCGAUAUCAGAUUAGCUAGUUGGUGAGGUAAAGGCUCACCAAGGCGACGGUCUGUAGCGGGUCUGAGAGGAUGAUCCGCCACACUGGAACUGAGACACGGUCCAGACUCCUACGGGAGGCAGCAGUGGGGAAUUUUGGACAAUGGGGGCAACCCUGAUCCAGCCAUGCCGCGUGAGUGAAGAAGGCCUUCGGGUUGUAAAGCUCUUUCAGCCGGGAAGAAAUCACAUGGGUUAAUACCCUGUGUGGAUGACGGUACCGGAAUAAGAAGCACCGGCUAACUACGUGCCAGCAGCCGCGGUAAUACGUAGGGUGCGAGCGUUAAUCGGAAUUACUGGGCGUAAAGCGUGCGCAGGCGGUUUGUUAAGAUAGGCGUGAAAUCCCCGGGCUCAACCUGGGAACUGCGUUUAUGACUGGCAGGCUAGAGUAUGGCAGAGGGGGGUGGAAUUCCACGUGUAGCAGUGAAAUGCGUAGAGAUGUGGAGGAACACCGAUGGCGAAGGCAGCCCCCUGGGCCAAUACUGACGCUCAUGCACGAAAGCGUGGGUAGCAAACAGGAUUAGAUACCCUGGUAGUCCACGCCCUAAACGAUGUC
rnacentral:rRNA from 1 species